UAUUUAACGCGUUAUUGCCUUUUUUAUGACAAACAUUGCGUGUUACUCUUAGUAUAGUUGUACCGUUGCAAUUUGGUGAGUUUUAUUGAACAAAAUAAUGAAAGUAUAGCAUUUACAUACGAAGUCAUUUUACCCUACAUCCAAUAGUAAGCUACACCACAUGUUUGCACCCCGUGUGACGUCACACAUAUCCCGGCAUUCAAGACUGACCCGGCAAACCCCGGCAAAGAACUUAUUUUAUGAAUGAUAGCUAUUAAGAAAUAAAUCAUACGCGGUUGAAGAGUUCAUGUCAUGUAAUAUUUUGUGAAAUAGCUUUUAUGUUUCAAAUGAUUUUUUUCAGCAGCAAUCGAACUAGUGUAUUUGUUUGAGUAAAUUAUUUGGAUUAUACCUAUCACAGUGUGUCAACGUUAUGCCUAUUGUUAUUUUGGACUAUAGGGUGUAGUUUUUAAAGUCAUACACAAUAUGGCGGCGAUUAUGCGGAAAUUAAAUUGAAUGUUACUUCGAACACGUUCAUCUACAAAAUAACCGACCUGUAUUUAGUGCUAUUGCUUUAACACCAAUCGAAGCAAAAAUGGCAUCAAUGUAUGUGUCUAAAAAUGUUAAAUUUAGAUGGAGACAAUCCAGAAAUGAGCUGCCAGGAAGUGAUCGAUUUCGGACACGAAGAUUGAGAAGUGCCUGGAUACAAGGCUAGUAUUGUUAACAUCAUCUGAUACAAUCAACUGGAACAAAGCUGAAAUGGCUGCCUGACAUGACUUAAAAAUUGGAUGGCAGUACAUCAGACUAGAAGAUUACAAGUAUUGAGGUGGACAAAAUGAAACCUGAACCAAAGCUGACAGAUUGCACAAGAAACACAUAAAUGCAGAUUGGAAGAUUCAUUCUCUGGAAAGUAGAAAAUGGCAUGUUACAUACUGUUAUCACUGCCAUGACAGAAACCAUAUUGAGGAGCUGGUCCACCUGUAGGAAAAAAUGCGCUAUUGGUUGGAGCAGCACUAUUACCCAGCCAUACACCAGCACUUAGUUUGUCAUAGGGAGCAUUUCUGAGCAGUUAUGGAGACCACUAACUAUGCAGUUGUUGCAGUGAAACUUGCACCAGUGUGUUUUCUGUGGAGAUAAUGAGAUAGUGUCCAGCAACGAAGACCCAACUCAAGAUUUGACCUUGUAAGGCCAAUAUGAAAUAACUGUGUGGGAAAAGGGGAAAAACCUGCAGUCAGGAAUGCACGGAAAUCAUCAAAAGAACAGUGUUAAAUUAACCUUGAAUAACUUGACAUUUAUUUUGUUUGACAUAUUUAUUCAUGGUGCAGUGAAAACAUUCUUUUUUUCUCAUGGUUAUUUAAAUUUAGAAUUAAUAGGAGGGAACAUCACUAUGUAGUUUCAUGUUCAUAGUCAGAUCAAAACCCAUGUACAUGCUCAAAUGAGCAUUCGAAAAUAUCAAAAUGGUACUUGUUGUAUGUAGUGUAAGUUAAUUAACAUAAUAAACAAAAAUAUUUAAUCAAUUUCAAUUUAUUAUGCCCCUUUCAAAGAAGAGGAGUAUAUUGCUUUGCACAUGUUGGCCGCUACGUCCGUCUGUCUGACAGUAGACCAAAGCUUUUCCGGGUGAUAACUCUACAAUUCCUAGACCUAUUGUCAAACUUGACAUGAAAGUUUGGUUUAACCAGUAGAUGACCCCUUUUGAUUUUAGGGGUAAUAUGGUCAAAGGUCACAGUGACCUUGAACAGGAAGGUGUCAAACCAUAU